CACUGCCCAAAAGACUUCCUACCUAUUGUGCCAGCAAAACCGUGUGUGCAUGAUGGAGACUGCAAUGAAGGGGAGAAAUGUUGUGUUUUUUAUGGAAACCCAGUCUGUGCGCCUGCCCUUUUGUCCGACCAAGGGUGCCCGGUAAUUGAUCCAUUAGAUGGGAUUUGUGCUGAACUCUGCAGCAGUGACAGGGACUGUCCAGUGGGUCAAAUGUGCUGCUCCAAUGGGUGCGGACAUCAGUGCAUUUCAACUGCACCCGUGAAGCCCGGAAGAUGUGGCAAUCAGGUAUUCACUCCCUGGUGUUAUUUUUUCUGUAAUCAUGAUGGUGACUGUCCAGGCGAAAAGAAGUGCUGUCCGACAACAUGUGGCCGUGCGUGUAAACAUCCUCAUCCUCCUGCAAAUGUUUAAUACGAAUCUGUCAAAUAAAAAUAUCUACUAAUUA